rnacentral:lncRNA from 1 species
AGGGAGCCUGAUAUGGGACUUCAUCCUGCGACCCCAGGAUUACACCCUGAGCUGAGCCGAAGGCAGACGCUCAACCGCCGAGCCACCCAGGCAUCCCAGGAGGUGAGGGAAUUCUUAAUGGGCUUCUGGUGGUUUUGCUUCUGUUGCUGGGAGAAAUCUGGGCAGAGAAAGUUUUCUGGGCUGAGGCACUUCUUAAGGGGCUUCUCUUUGGCAGGACUCUGAGGUGCUCUGGGGAGGAGCGGGGGAAUUUGUGGGAUCUUCCCAUCCCCUUUCUGGGCCGGCCUUCAUCCUGGACCUGUGUGUCAUGUGUGCUCACUGCUCAUCUUCUGGGACAUGCCUUCCAACUGAUAUGCUCUGGGGCUGUUGAGGGGUACUCUGUGGAAGUGCAGCAUGUUACGGAUGCAUGGGCAUCUCUGAAAAAAAUCCACAGAUGUUGAGCAUGGAAGAAGCCAGACUUGGACUAAGACGUCCCUCAGUUAGCUGUCUUGGAACCCGAUUACUCUCUGGCUCCAAGGCUUCUCGAGGAGCAGUGAUGACAAAUUUCAGGUGUUCCCACUGAGCAGGGUGGGGUUUAUGAUGCGGAGUGUGGUGUGGUGGAAAGAGUUUGGGGUUUGGAAUCAACCUACCCGAGACCAAUCACAGGAGGCCACCACUUAGUCACUCGGCAAAUGGCCUGGGUUUUGAUUUCCUUGUCUCUCAGAGGGGAGAUAAUAAUACCUUCCCUGAAAUGAUUGCCUGGAGAAUCAAGAGAGACAUGUGAAAAGCCUUUGGAACCUGUAAAAUGCUCUCCACAUGUCGUCUUUAUUAUUCUCUGCUCUUAGAAGAUGAACUUUAAAAGUCUCUUUCAACUGUGAUGAAUUCUGUGAUGUUAAACUCUUCCUGGGACAAAGCUCUCUGUUCUUUUUUUCCCCACGAGACACUACAAACUCAAGAGGUGCGUGGAGUCCAGGUGCAACCCAGUGAGUUGACGCUCUUUUUUUGUUUGAUUCAGUGCAAUUUUACAUUUUCCCUCUCUCUUUCUUCCCUUUGUUUUUGUUUUAGGUUGAACCGAACAGAUCCUUAAAGUAACAGUGGCUCUGGGAAGAGCCAUACAGGGCUCUGGCCCAAGCUGUGGUAUCAGACAUGAGGUCAGCAGCAGAGAAGCUGUCUGGGCAGGCUGCUGGAAGGGGGGCCACCUGGGUUUGGUGCUUCUUGAUGAGGUGUUUCUCCAGGAAUGACUUAUGUAUGCUAGGCGAAAGAAUUGAGUGUUGAGUUUGGCUAAUGCCCACUAGAGAGCUGUCAUUACAUCAAGGUUAGUUCAUGACUCAAAGGAUGUCUUGAAUAUCAAUUGUUUCUUCCUUCUGUGAGGGGGGAGGCAUAUUUUAUCAGUCUUGUCGGGAAAGAGGGUAGGGUUGAGGCUUCGAUAUAUAGAUGGAAGCAUCAGAGUGUAGUAGAAAGACUACUGGCCUUGGAGUCUUAAAACCUGGGUGGACUUGCACAUCACUAACUGCCUGUGUGACUCAGUGGAAAUCACUUAACCUCUCUGGUCCACAGGAGUUUUAUAUAUAUAUAUGGAGUAUAAUUACAUUUGGGGAUAGUUAUGUGUAUCACGUUGUACAGUAAUUGCCUUUGUAAACAAUGAAUAUUUCAAAAAUUGAUGUGUAAUAUACAUUCAGAAAACUGCCCACAUCACCAGCACAGAGCUUGAUGAACUAUCCCAACCUAAUUCCACUCGUGUAACCACCAGCCCGAUGAAGAACUAUUGUAUCACCAGACGCCUGGAAUCCCCUCUUCGCCCUCUCCCUGCCACUCCCCAGCCUCCUCCUCCAAAACGAGUAUGAUCCCAUCUCCUAACACCAUAGAUUAGUUUUGGCCAUCGUCGUUGCACUUUACAAAACGAAAUCAUACAAUGUGUACAUUUUUGGUGUCUGGCUUGCUUUGCUUUUGAGAUUCAUCCACGUUGCCAUAAGUAGCAGUUAUGUAUCUGUUCGCAUUGCUAUUAUUGCUAUUAUUACAGCCCACUGUAUCCACCUGCUGCUGGUGGAGAUUUGGGUCAUUUCUAGUUUGUGGCUCUUCUUCUUGGUGUUCUGUUGCCUGUAUCUCUGUCUGGCAUAUACUUAAGGGUGGAAUUGCCAAGUCCUAUAGAGAGUAUGUGGCUCCGCUUUAAUAGGUAUCGUCAUGGAGGUUUACACAGUGGGUGUCUUAACUUCCUGUCCCCCACCCAGCAGUGCCCGAGCUUCCACCUCUCCGUGUCUUUCAUUGUGUCCCGCUAUCUCAUGGUGUUUUUUUGGUCGCAUUUCCCCCAUGGCUGCUGAGGUUAGGCCCAUUUCUGUACAUUCGUAAGCCAUUUAAAAAUCCUCUUUCAUGAAGUGCUUGUUUAAGUCUUUUGGGUCAUUUUUUUUGUUGCAUUAAAAAAUUUUUUUUGUAAGAGUUCUUAUAUUUAACUGUAAUACACUGCUGGAUAUAUUAAUUGCACAUAGCCUUCUCCUACUCUGUGGCUUGCAUUUUCACUCUCUAUUUCAUGAACAGAAGUUUCUAAUUUUAACAUAGUUUAAUAUACCAAUCCUUUCUCUUAUUGUUAGUUUUUCUUUUUUGUGUUGUCCUUAUGAAAUCUUUGGGGUGUGAGACGAGCAUCCUGGGGAAGACAUGAGGCAGCAGCAUGCCCGUCAGGACACCUUCCAUCUGAUCCCAAGAUGCUUGUGGAGCUCCACUGAGCUUGCAGGGCCUCUGUGUACCCUUGCAAUAACCUCAACCUUUCAUUUGAGCUCGUUUGAGUGGUUUCUGAUCCUUGCAAUCAAAAGAGUUUGGGACAAAGAUACUCCAGAUCAAAGAUUUUAUUUAUUCAUGAGAGAUGCAGCGAGAGAGGCAGAGACAUAGACAGAGGGACAAGCAGGCUCCCUGUGGGGAGCCUAACGUGGGACUCAAUCCCGGGACCCUGGGAUCACGCCCUGAGAUGAAGGCAGAUGCUCAACCACUGAGCUACCCACGAGUUCCUACUGGGGUCUCCAAACCAUCAGAGACGUGGACUGACCUCCCAGCCAAGAAUUCCUUAACUUCAGGAUGCUGGUCCUGGAUAUUUUGGUUUGAUUGGGAUGGAUACAGCUACAGAGAACCUUGUUCUUCCCUGCAGAGCACUGGGGCUAUAGAUAUUCUGUCCUCGGGGCCAGGAAACUGGAUAUCCUGAUUCCUUCGCUUCCUGUCCCACCCACUCACUGGACCUGUGUGCCUAACAUCUGCAAUCAUUUGCAAAAUACAAGUUCCCAGGCCUGGAGGCGGCACUGUUUUCUUUCCUGCACACAUGCAAAGACCUUUGAGUCGGCAGCUCUGUUUUAUAAGGUUGCUACUUCCUGCCCUUGCUUUAUUACAUCUGUUCUUUGGGGCAUGGUGUUAUAAAUUGGGUAUGUGAUGAUGUGUAAUCACUAACUGAAAAGCCAAUACAUUUUCACUGUACCGGCAGCAAGACAAAUAAAAGGCAAA